rnacentral:rRNA from 1 species
GACGAACGCUGGCGGCGUGCUUAACACAUGCAAGUCGAACGAAGAGCGAUGGAAGCUUGCUUCUAUCAAUCUUAGUGGCGAACGGGUGAGUAACGCGUAAUCAACCUGCCCUUCAGAGGGGGACAACAGUUGGAAACGACUGCUAAUACCGCAUACGAUCUAAUCUCGGCAUCGAGGAUAGAUGAAAGGUGGCCUCUACAUGUAAGCUAUCACUGAAGGAGGGGAUUGCGUCUGAUUAGCUAGUUGGAGGGGUAACGGCCCACCAAGGCGAUGAUCAGUAGCCGGUCUGAGAGGAUGAACGGCCACAUUGGGACUGAGACACGGCCCAGACUCCUACGGGAGGCAGCAGUGGGGAAUCUUCCGCAAUGGACGAAAGUCUGACGGAGCAACGCCGCGUGAGCGAUGACGGCCUUCGGGUUGUAAAGCUCUGUUAAUCGGGACGAAAGGCCUUCUUGCGAAUAGUGAGAAGGAUUGACGGUACCGGAAUAGAAAGCCACGGCUAACUACGUGCCAGCAGCCGCGGUAAUACGUAGGUGGCAAGCGUUGUCCGGAAUUAUUGGGCGUAAAGCGCGCGCAGGCGGAUAGGUCAGUCUGUCUUAAAAGUUCGGGGCUUAAACCCGUGAUGGGA